GUGAGGAAUAUUGGACAAUGGGCGCAAGCCUGAUCCAGCCAUGCCGCGUGAGUGAUGAAGGCCUUAGGGUUGUAAAGCUCUUUCAGUGGGGACGAUAAUGACGGUACCCACAGAAGAAGCCCCGGCUAACUUCGUGCCAGCAGCCGCGGUAAUACGAAGGGGGCUAGCGUUGUUCGGAUUUACUGGGCGUAAAGCGCACGUAGGCGGAUCGUUAAGUCGGGGGUGAAAUCCUGGAGCUCAACUCCAGAACUGCCUUCGAUACUGGCGAUCUUGAGUCCGGAAGAGGUGAGUGGAACUCCUAGUGUAGAGGUGGAAUUCGUAGAUAUUAGGAAGAACACCAGUGGCGAAGGCGGCUCACUGGUCCGGUACUGACGCUGAGGUGCGAAAGCGUGGGGAGCAAACAGGAUUAGAAACCCCUGUAGUCC
rnacentral:rRNA from 1 species